rnacentral:rRNA from 1 species
UACAGAGGUCCCAAGCGUUGUUCGGAUUUACUGGGCGUAAAGGGUGCGUAGGUGGCGGGGUAAGUCUGGUGUGAAAUCUCCGAGCUCAACUCGGAAAAGCAUUGGAAACUAUCCCGCUAGAGGGUCGGAGGGGAGACUGGAAUUCUCGGUGUAGCAGUGAAAUGCGUAGAUAUCGAGAGGAACACCAGUGGCGAAGGCGGGUUGCUGGGCUGACACUGACGCUGAGGCGCGAAAGCUAGGGGAGCAAACGGG